rnacentral:rRNA from 1 species
UACGAAGGGGGCUAGCGUUGUUCGGAAUUACUGGGCGUAAAGCGCGUGUAGGCGGGUCUUUAAGUCUGGGGUGAAAUGCCAAGGCUCAACCUUGGAACUGCCUUUGAUACUGGAGACCUUGAGUCCGGGAGAGGUGAGUGGAAUUGCGAGUGUAGAGGUGAAAUGCGUAGAGAUCCGGAGGAACACCAAAGGCGAAGGCAGUGUCCUGGGGAGUGCCUGACGCUCAGGUGCGAAAGCCAGGGGAGCGAACGGG